rnacentral:misc_RNA from 1 species
GUCAUUAUCAACCCUCAAGCCCGGCUUGUUGUUGGACCUUUCGUCGUCAAAGACGGGUCCCAAAGACAAUGACAGAGUCUAUCGGACCCUAGAUGCAACGAGCUUUCAAUAGCACGCAUUGAAGUGGCCGGCGGCUUUGGUCUCAACCGAUUUUUUAUAAGGUUGACCUCGGAUCAGGUAGGAAUACCCGCUGAACUUAA